rnacentral:rRNA from 1 species
CGCAUCUGUGCAUGCAGCAUAUCAAUAAGCGGAGGAAAAGAAACUAACAAGGAUUCCCCUAGUAACGGCGAGUGAAGCGGGAAGAGCUCAAAUUUGAAUCUUAAAGGGUUUCCCUUUACGAAUUGUAGUUUAAAGAAGUGUUUUCUGUUGAGGUUUUGGUAGAAGUUCUUUGGAAUAGGACAUCAUAGAGGGUGAGAAUCCCGUAUUUGACCUUUACUUUCAACUUUGUGAUACACUUUCAAAGAGUCGGAUUGUUUGGGAAUGCAGUCCAAAAUGGGUGGUAAAUUUCAUCUAAAGCUAAAUAUUGGCGAGAGACCGAUAGCGAACAAGUACCGUGAGGGAAAGAUGAAAAGAACUUUGAAAAGAGAGUUAAACAGUACGUGAAAUUGUCAAAAGGGAAGCGUUUGACACCAGUGUUGUUUUUCUGAAAAUCAAUUAAAGAACUGUUUAUGCUAAGCUGUUUAGACUUUAUCAGCUAUCUGUUUAGUUUUGAGCUUUUCUUUAAUGCACUUUUCAGUUAACAAGUCAACAUCAAUUUCUUUUGCUGUAAAAAAGCUUGAGGAAGGUGGCUUGAGAUUCGUCUUAAGUGUUUAUAGCCUCUUGCCUAUGCAGUCGGAGAGAUUGAGGUCUGCAGCGUAGAUCCUUCGGGGCUAAAUGCAUUUGUGCUAAGUUAUAGCAUUUUAUAGACAACUUGUUGACUAUGAUUUGUCUUGUAGCUUACUCGCUUAUGCUAUUUUACCUACGCUUAGGAUGUUGACGAGACUGUCGAUCUCAUCUAUACAUGACUCUGUGCAUAUCAAUAAGCGGAGGAAAAGAGGGCUAUUACCUACGCUUAGGAUGUUGACGAGACUGUCGAUCUC